UGCAAGUCGAGCGGACCGACGGGAGCUUGCUCCCUUAGGUCAGCGGCGGACGGGUGAGUAACACGUGGGUAACCUGCCUGUAAGACUGGGAUAACUCCGGGAAACCGGGGCUAAUACCGGAUGCUUGAUUGAACCGCAUGGUUCAAUCAUAAAAGGUGGCUUUYAGCUACCACUUACAGAUGGACCCGCGGCGCAUUAGCUAGUUGGUGAGGUAACGGCUCACCAAGGCGACGAUGCGUAGCCGACCUGAGAGGGUGAUCGGCCACACUGGGACUGAGACACGGCCCAGACUCCUACGGGAGGCAGCAGUAGGGAAUCUUCCGCAAUGGACGAAAGUCUGACGGAGCAACGCCGCGUGAGUGAUGAAGGUUUUCGGAUCGUAAAACUCUGUUGUUAGGGAAGAACAAGUACCGUUCGAAUAGGGCGGUACCUUGACGGUACCUAACCAGAAAGCCACGGCUAACUACGUGCCAGCAGCCGCGGUAAUACGUAGGUGGCAAGCGUUGUCCGGAAUUAUUGGGCGUAAAGCGCGCGCAGGCGGUUUCUUAAGUCUGAUGUGAAAGCCCCCGGCUCAACCGGGGAGGGUCAUUGGAAACUGGGGAACUUGAGUGCAGAAGAGGAGAGUGGAAUUCCACGUGUAGCGGUGAAAUGCGUAGAGAUGUGGAGGAACACCAGUGGCGAAGGCGACUCUCUGGUCUGUAACUGACGCUGAGGCGCGAAAGCGUGGGGAGCGAACAGGAUUAGAUACCCUGGUAGUCCACGCCGUAAACGAUGAGUGCUAAGUGUUAGAGGGUUUCCGCCCUUUAGUGCUGCAGCAAACGCAUUAAGCACUCCGCCUGGGGAGUACGGUCGCAAGACUGAAACUCAAAGGAAUUGACGGGGGCCCGCACAAGCGGUGGAGCAUGUGGUUUAAUUCGAAGCAACGCGAAGAACCUUACCAGGUCUUGACAUCCUCUGACAACCCUAGAGAUAGGGCUUCCCCUUCGGGGGCAGAGUGACAGGUGGUGCAUGGUUGUCGUCAGCUCGUGUCGUGAGAUGUUGGGUUAAGUCCCGCAACGAGCGCAACCCUUGAUCUUAGUUGCCAGCAUUCAGUUGGGCACUCUAAGGUGACUGCCGGUGACAACCCGGAGGAAA
rnacentral:rRNA from 1 species